rnacentral:lncRNA from 1 species
CCAGUGUCCUAACUCUGCAUCUUUUCCGAGGUCUUUCCCACUUCCUGUGAACUUGUCCCCCCUUCUUUGGAAAUUCCAUGAGUGUUUGAUCAUAAAGGCACAGAAGGUUAGAGGCACAUGUUCCUUCCAGCCCAUCCGAGUGGUGAUUUAAAUAAUACAGAUUCGUUUCCUGUUUGAUAGAUGACUGUGCUGAGGCACAUUGCCAGUGACCUAUAUGCCAGACUGCUGCCCUGCCUACGUUUGCCAAGUUUCUCUUGAGCUUCUUCACCUCAUGACUUUUACUGUGAUCUUCAUAUUGUUAAAUUGGAGGAACUUGCAUAUAAAAUAUGUUUAGCAUGUAGUGCAUCUCUGUCUUUU